rnacentral:rRNA from 1 species
GACAGAGGCCCCAAGCGUUAGGCGGAAUCACUGGGCUUAAAGCGUGUGUAGGCGGACGCCUAAGUGUCUUGUGAAAUCCCACGGCUCACCCGUGGAACUGCUGGGCAUACUGGGCGUCUUGGGCCAACUAGGGGCAGCCGGAACAAGCGGUGGAGCGGUGAAAUGCGUAGAUAUCGCUUGGAACGCCGAAGGUGAAAACAGGUCGCUGGGGGAUGUGCCGACGCUGAGACACGAAAGCCAGGGGAGCAAACGGG